rnacentral:rRNA from 1 species
AGAGUUUGAUCCUGGCUCAGAACGAACGCUGGCGGCAGGCCUAACACAUGCAAGUCGAACGCGACCUUCGGGUCGAGUGGCGCACGGGUGAGUAACGCGUGGGAAUCUGCCCUGUGGUACGGAAUAACAUCGGGAAACUGGUGCUAAUACCGUAUAUCCCCUGAGGGGGAAAGAUUUAUCGCCAUGGGAGGAGCCCGCGUAGGAUUAGCUAGUUGGUGGGGUAACGGCCUACCAAGGCGACGAUCCUUAGCUGGUCUGAGAGGAUGAUCAGCCACACUGGGACUGAGACACGGCCCAGACUCCUACGGGAGGCAGCAGUGGGGAAUAUUGGACAAUGGGGGAAACCCUGGUCCAGCCAUGCCGCGUGUGUGAUGAAGGCCUUCGGGUUGUAAAGCACUUUCGCACGUGACGAUGAUGACGGUAACGUGAGAAGAAGCCCCGGCUAACUUCGUGCCAGCAGCCGCGGUAAUACGAAGGGGGCAAGCGUUGUUCGGAAUUACUGGGCGUAAAGGGCGCGUAGGCGGUGCUCUAAGUCAGGCGUGAAAGCCCUGGGCUCAACCCGGGAAUUGCGCUUGAUACUGGAGCGCUUGAAUCCAGGAGAGGUUGGUGGAAUUCCCAGUGUAGAGGUGAAAUUCGUAGAGAUUGGGAAGAACACCGGUGGCGAAGGCGGCCAACUGGACUGGUAUUGACGCUGAGGCGCGAAAGCGUGGGGAGCAAACAGGAUUAGAUACCCUAGUAGUCC